rnacentral:lncRNA from 1 species
UAUCUCUGUACUCUACCAUUCUCAACCCAUAUACCCUCCUGAGUUUGCUGUCUCCUGAGCACCAAGUAUAUACUGUGCUAGAUUUAAAAGAUAUUUUUUCAGUCUGCCUCUUUCCUCAGCUAGCCAGCCUAUAUUUGCCUUCUAAUGGACUGACCCAGCUUCCAAUGAUUCUUGGCAACUCAUUUGGACCUGGCUCCCUCAAGGAUUCAAGAAUGCAACCACUCUGUUCUGUGAGGCCUUCCAGAAGGACUUAUUUGUUGAGUUUUUGAUCCCAUGACCCUAACCUCACCUUGCUUCAAUAUGUGGAAGAUCUGUUGUUAGCUGCUGCCAUUUGUUCAGAAUGCCUUCAGGAAACAAGAGCUCCUACAAUUGCUAGAGGAGUUGGGCUAAUGUGUCUUGGCUAAAAAGGCACAACUCUGUGCUUCCCAUGCAUCGUACCUGUGGUAUGAGACCUCAAAAGGAAGAAAAACUUUGUCUCAGGCAAGGAAAUGGGCCAUUCUCCAGAUACCCAUGCCAACUACCAAGAAACAGGUACAAGAAUUUCUAGGUGCAGCUGGAUACUGUGGCCUCUGGAUACCUGGGUUUGCCAAGAUAGUACAGCCCUGAAAUCAACCCCUAGAGUGGAGAAGAAAAGAAGAAAAGGUGUUCCAGGAUUUAAAACAAGCUCUGGUGUCAGCCCCGACUCUGGUGUUGCCUGGCAUCAAUCACCAAACUGUUCCAACUGUUCACUCAUGAGGUUCUCAGUCUGGCAACACUGAUGCCACAUGAUGACCCCAAUACCCCAAUGCAUGACUGUGAGGAGGUGUUGGACCACACCUAGGGAGGCUGCUCAGACCUAAUGGACAUCCCCCAGCUGAGGCUGACACCACUCUCUUCACUGAUGGAAGUAGCAUGGUGUCUCUUCAACAGGUAUGGGCUUCUGUCCAUGCCAGAGUACGAGCUACCUUACCCCAGCCCAGCUCUGCACCUUGCCACUCAUUCCAGCCAGGGGACACUUCCUCAAGGCCUUCCAGAAAGGGGCUCAUCCUGCUGUGGAAUGGACCACACACUGUCAUCCUCAGCACUCCCUUCACUCUCAAGGGAAAGUCCUUAAGUCACAUCUGCAGGGCCCUGUCCUGGCUCCAUGACUUUGAGCAGAAGAAACAGCAAGAAGAGGCCCACUGUCUCCUUGAACCUGAAGCCGGCCCCUCGCCUGAGGGGCAGACUUGCAUCCUGCAAUCUUGUCUUCCUGCCAAGCAUCCCCCACCACUCUGAGACCUACACAAGAGCCAGACUGGGUCACCAAGUUUGUGCAGAGGAAGGAAGGAAGGGACCUGGCAGAGCAAGUGAAGGUGAGGGCUGGGUAGCAUCCUCGAGUCAGUGGAUGCAGAGUCACCUCUGCUGACGGAACCAGCCAUCACUAGUCAAACAGUACCCGAGCAGAGGGGUGAGGAUUAAGAAAGAAAAACACUGACUCAAAGGAAAAGAAAAAGGAGAGAGGAGGAGAGACCUCUCUCCCCACUUUAUUGACCCUUUUAUAUCCUUUCCACAGUUCCCCUCCCCUCCUCACCACAUGAUCAGGUGACUAGUUUACAGAGAAAAGGUCAAGUGUAUCUUUACAAUUCCAGGGAUGUUAUUUCUUUGCUUUGCAGACAUUCAGAUUCUUUCUAUUUUUACUACUCUCUUCACAAGUCAACAUCCUUGUUUUCGUGCCAGUUUCAUAUCCAGGGUUCAUUAUACUCUCAAGAGGCUCAGAGGUCUUUCAAGGUUGUUUCAACCCUUCGCUCUCCACACUCUGCAUCCUUCUGAGCCGUGGUCACCUGUCCUUCUCUGGGCACCACUCCCCAUGCACUGUGUACCCAUGGUUGGCCUUGGUGAUGGGUCUGGGCCCUGGAUGCAAUGGAGGGAGGAGUCUGACCAGGCUGUGGCCCAGGAAGGGAUGCAGACUUCCUGCCCCAGGCAGCAAGGGUGACUUGCCAGUUUGAGGUUCAGAGGGACUCCUGGAACCCUCAUUGCUCUAGAGGAUGGCAGGGUCCCUGCAGGAGUCUCCUCACUGCUGUGUCCCCCCCCCAG